rnacentral:SRP_RNA from 1 species
UUCUGGGUCCGACGCAAUGUUUCUAAGUGAAUCAAGUCAGGUCGGGAACGAAGCAGCUUUCAGCUUUUUGAAUUAUGUGCCGUCGGGUUGCCGAGGGCCG